GGGUGGUAGGGACUCACCUAAGCUACCAGAGGACCCCAGAACUGAGACCAAGUAGCUGUUCAAAGUCAUCAUAAGGACAGUCUUUGAAAAGUCCUAAUGCAGAUGCUAAACAUUAUCCUCCAACAAUUCAGAUUAAAGGUAUAAUAGAAGCAAUGUGUAAAUGUCAUUCAAAAUUGCAUUUAGAAGAAACUUGAAUAUUCUCACAUUUACCUUUUCACCCACAGAAGCUCUUUCUUAUUGAUUACAGGAUCAAUAAAAUCUGUGGAUAAUUUAUGAAACAUUAUCAUCCUGAGCUUCAAUAAAUUUACUGUUAAGAUUGGUUAAGUGCAUAGGCAUGACAGAUAUUUGCUGCAACGCUGUUAAAACCUCAAAAUGCACAGGAACUCUAUAUGGAAUCCAAGGCUUCCUUUGCCCCUUCUUAUUCCUUUAACCCGUAAGUGUAUAUAAGGAGGAGAUACACACCCCCGGCCCCAGUGAAUCAGUUACUGUUACUCCUGAAUGGUUUAAUUGCAAAUAUUUUAAAAUAUUACUGUCCAUAACAAUGCUGUCUGCCCACUAGUUCUUGUACCUGACGCCAUCUGGCAUAAUAGGUUUAUGGAACAAGUAGAACUAGGGACUGAGACAAUUAAAUAUCAGAAGAGGUCAAAGUACAUAAGUCCUAAGCUUUUCUAUACAAAACAAACAGCAACAUAGGUGGGACAGUAGGGUGAAAGAUAGAAUUUCAUAUCAAAAUCAGAGUCCUAAAAGGGGAAAUAUAAAUAGCAUCAGUACUCAAAACAUUUGUGAAGAACAGUGAUAGCAAAUAUUUUGUACCA
rnacentral:lncRNA from 1 species